CAGGAUGAACGCUAGCGACAGGCUUAACACAUGCAAGUCGAGGGGCAGCAUAGAAGUAGCAAUACUUGGUCGGCGACCGGCGCACGGGUGAGUAACGCGUAUGCAACCUACCUAUCAGAGGGGAAUAACCCGGCGAAAGUCGGACUAAUACCGCAUAAAACAGGGGCACCGCAUGGUGAUAUUUGUUAAAGAAAUUCGCUGAUAGAUGGGCAUGCGUUCCAUUAGGUAGUUGGUGAGGUAACGGCUCACCAAGCCGACGAUGGAUAGGGGAACUGAGAGGUUGGUCCCCCACACUGGUACUGAGACACGGACCAGACUCCUACGGGAGGCAGCAGUGAGGAAUAUUGGUCAAUGGGGCGGGAGCCUGAACCAGCCAAGUCCGCGUGAAGGGAGAAGGAUCUAUGGUUCGUAAACUUCUUUUGCAGGGGAAUAAAGUGCGGGACGUGUCCUGUUUUGUAUGUACCCUGAGAAUAAGGAUCGGCUAACUCCGUGCCAGCCGCAGC
rnacentral:rRNA from 1 species